rnacentral:lncRNA from 1 species
AUCUCCUGCCUCCAAACCUACCGCCCAGGGCCGAGGGCCAGAAUGAGGAGGCCAGGUGGGCAGCAGUGGGCUGCCCUGCCUGGCUGGCCCUUGGGCCCGCUCAGAGCCUCCUUGUGUCCUGUCGGCUGGCAGCCUGAGUGGCCAGGCCGGCACAGGCUCUUACCAAAUAAGGCCUGGGCAGCGGGCCUGGGCAGGCUCACAUGCGGGCAGCCGGGCUGUGGCGGUGGCCUGCCUGUCCGUCCCUCCACCCUGGGCUGUCCGCCCAGCCAGCUGACCCUAUGAGCUUUCGCCCUCAGGAGGCUCCAAGGCAGCCCCAGCCGCGGGACAGCCCAGACCUCCCCGUGUCCCCUGGAGAGGAGCCUCCACUUAGAUGCUUUGGAAUGUCCAUCUGCAUCUCUGAGAGGGCGACUGGAGAGAGACCCCAAGGACCCCCAGGGACCCCGUGCAGCUGGGAGCCCCAGGCUGAGUCAGAAGGUCCCCUUCGCUGCUCCCCUGCCCCACCCAGAGGUUUGGGUGUGACCCGUGGCCAGCCCCUUCCCUGGGCCUGGUGAUUGAGGUCAAAGGUCAAGGUUGGCCAAGGGCUUGGAUAGGGCCAGGGUCUCAAGGGCAAACUGAGGGCUCAGGCAGAGACCUACCCCCACCCCAUGCCUGGAGGGAGGGACGAGGGAGGGUGUGACAUGGCUGAUGAGGGGCCUGCCUCAUUAGCUCACGUGGCCCCAGGGAGCCAUCUUGCAGUGUGGUGGGAGGGGGACAAGUGUCAGGAGUUGCUUCGGAGCAAGGUGCCCGUUGCCCUCUGGCAUCUGACAAGUAGCUGUGCUCUUGCAGCCUCAGUCUGACCACCCUUCAGACGGUCCACCGCUCGCUGUCUCCAGGUGGCUGCGGGGACCGAGGGGGCCGGGUACGUGGGGCCCCGGGGGCUGCCUGAGUGUCGGUCCAGACCCUGGGGUCCUGCUCUUCCUGGAGCUGGAGAGGGGGGCUCCGCCUGAUCCUGGGGCUGCCCCAUUCCGCAUCCUCUGGGUCCUGGGUCCUGGGUGACGGCGAGGUCCCUGCCACUCCUGGAGCAGACUGUGUGGGGCAGCCGUCAGCUCUCGCCUGUGUGUGCAUGACGGUGUGUGAAGGAGUGUGUGACUGUCUGGGUGUGCCCAUGUGUGACUACGAGUGUGUGGGGGUGCGUGCCCCUGUGUGUGUG